rnacentral:rRNA from 1 species
CCUACGGGAGGCAGCAGUAAGGAAUAUUGGUCAAUGGACGCGAGUCUGAACCAGCCAUGCCGCGUGAAGGAUUAAGGCCCUCUGGGUUGUAAACUUCUUUUAUAGGGGACGAAAAAAGGGCAUUCUUGCUCACUUGACGGUACCCUAGGAAUAAGCACCGGCUAACUCCGUGCCAGCAGCCGCGGUAAUACGGAGGGUGCAAGCGUUAUCCGGAUUUACUGGGUUUAAAGGGUGCGUAGGUGGGUUGGUAAGUCAGUGGUGAAAUCUUCGAGCUUAACUCGGAAACUGCCAUUGAUACUAUCAAUCUUGAAUCAUCUAGAGGUAAGCGGAAUAUGUCAUGUAGCGGUGAAAUGCUUAGAUAUGACAUAGAACACCAAUUGCGAAGGCAGCUUACUAUGGAUGUAUUGACACUGAGGCACGAAAGCGUGGGGAUCAAACAGGAUUAGAUACCCUGGUAGUCCACGCCCUAAACGAUGGAUACUCGACAUUUGUGAUAUACUAUAAGUGUCUGAGCGAAAGCAUUAAGUAUCCCACCUGGGAAGUACGACCGCAAGGUUGAAACUCAAAUGAAUUGACGG